rnacentral:lncRNA from 1 species
AAUCCCAGUGGCUCAAGAAGUUGAGGCAGGAGGAUCGUGAGUUCAAAGCCAGCCUUAGCAAUUUAGUGAGGUGCUAAACAAGUCAGUGAGACCCUGUCUCUAAAUAGAAUAUAAAAUAGGACUGGGGAUGUGGCUCAGUGUCAAGUGUCCCUGAGUUCAAUCCUCAGUACCCCAAAAUAAAAAAUAAAUACAAAAUAAAAAGGGCUUUGGAUGUGCCUCAGUGGUUAAGUGCCCCUGGGUUCAACACCUAAUACCAAUAAUAAUAAUAAUAAUAAUAAGAAGAAGAAGAAGAAGAAGAAGAAGAAGAAUUUUAUUGAAUAUACAUCAUAUCUCAAUGAAGUUGCUGGGGACUAUCUCUCCCUCUGGGGAUGGCUUGCAUUUUCCCUUGAGUGUGAAUUCCUUGCUUUACCCCAAAGACAUCUCUCUUUAGAGACUGCCCCCCAUCCCUUUCUCUCUUGAGUAUGUAUCUACUUUCCUAAACAAACCUCUGUCUGUGCCUUUAAGAAGUAAUGAAAAUGUGCUGUCAGGAAUCAAACCCAAAGGACUCCUACAAAUAAGUUUCGCUAAGCUAUACCCCCAGCCUGAAGUUUGAUUUUUAUUUUAUUUUUUUUUACAAUGGGACAGGGGAGGAGCUGGUUGGGGUAGGAAUGAAAAAACAUUGGCCAUGAAUUGGUAAGAAUUGAAGCUGGGUGUUGGGUAU